rnacentral:rRNA from 1 species
GAUGAACGCUGGCGGCGUGCCUAAUACAUGCAAGUCGAGCGGACAGACGAGGAGCUUGCUCCUCUGACGUUAGCGGCGGACGGGUGAGUAACACGUGGAUAACCUACCUAUAAGACUGGGAUAACUUCGGGAAACCGGAGCUAAUACCGGAUAAUAUAUUGAACCGCAUGGUUCAAUAGUGAAAGACGGUUUUGCUGUCACUUAUAGAUGGAUCCGCGCCGCAUUAGCUAGUUGGUAAGGUAACGGCUUACCAAGGCAACGAUGCGUAGCCGACCUGAGAGGGUGAUCGGCCACACUGGAACUGAGACUCGGUCCAGACUCCUACGGGAGGCAGCAGUAGGGAAUCUUCCGCAAUGGGCGAAAGCUUGACGGAGCAACGCCGCGUGAGUGAUGAAGGUCUUCGGAUCGUAAAACUCUGUUAUUAGGGAAGAACAAAUGUGUAAGUAACUAUGCACGUCUUGACGGUACCUAAUCAGAAAGCCACGGCUAACUACGUG